UACGGAGGGGGCAAGCGUUGCCCGGAUUUAUUGGGCGUAAAGGGCGCGUAGGCGGCUCGGCACGUCCGUUGUGAAAUCGCCCGGCUCAACUGGGCGGGGUCAGCGGAUACGGCCGAGCUUGAGCAAGCUAGGGGGCAAUGGAAUUCCCGGUGUAGUGGUGGAAUGCGUAGAUAUCGGGAGGAACACCAGUGGCGAAGGCGGUUGCCUGGAGCUUUGCUGACGCUGAUGCGCGAAAGCGUGGGGAGCGAUCCGG
rnacentral:rRNA from 1 species